rnacentral:lncRNA from 1 species
UUUGGAUAGGAGGACUACCUCUCAGCAUUUCCUGUAAUGGCAUUGCACACCUGUAUACCCAGUCUUUGGCAAUACACAUUACAGAUACUGGCCAAAAAAGAAUUAGAAAAUCAGUGUCAAAGUUGGAUUGUGGUCCCUGAAGACUUAGAUUAAUGGAAUUCUGCUGGAAACAUAAAGGUUGUUUCCCUGCUGUUCACAUCUGUUGCAUCCUGGGAAAAAAACAAAAAGGAAGAUGUUAUGUGAAGAGCUGAUGUUUGCAUCGCCGACUCUC